rnacentral:rRNA from 1 species
UUAGAGUUUGAUCAUGGCUCAGGACGAACGCUGGCGGCGUGCCUCAUACAUGCAAGUGGAGCGACGAACCGGGCUUCGGCCCGGGGCAAAGCCGCGAACGGGUGAGUAACACGUGGGUAACCUGCCCUGAUGAUUGGGACAACCCGAGGAAACUCGGGCUAAUACCAAAUGUGCUCCUGGCUGUGAUGGCCAGGUGGAAAGGAAGCUUCGGCCUCCGCAUCGGGAUGGGCCCGCGGCCCAUUAGCUAGUUGGUGGGGUAAUGGCCUACCAAGGCGACGAUGGGUAGCUGGUCUGAGAGGACGAUCAGCCACACUGGGACUGAGACACGGCCCAGACUCCUACGGGAGGCAGCAGUAGGGAAUCUUGCGCAAUGCGCGAAAGCGUGACGCAGCAACGCCGCGUGGGGGAAGAAGGCUUUCGGGUUGUAAACCCCUUUCAGUUGGGACGAAGCUCCGUCGGUUAAUAGCCGGCUGGAGUGACGGUACCUUCACAAGAAGCACCGGCCAACUACGUGCCAGCAGCCGCGGUACGCC